rnacentral:sRNA from 1 species
GGCUAAGACUUAGGCUUAGGCUUAGGCUUAGGCUUAGGCUUAGGCUUAGA